GUCACCGCCGGGAGCUCCAGGACUGCCUUGGACUGGAAGGAUGUGACCUUCUGCCUGAAAUACCUGAGGGGCUUUAGAAGUAUCAGUGUCCACCUGAGGUGAGGGUCCUGGGCACAAUCAGCGCUGUCUCAGCCUCCCUCAGUGUCCAGGGCUCCUGGACAGACAGUCGCCAUCUCCUGUGCCGGAAGCAGCAGUGACUUUGGGGUUAAAACUAUGUUUCCUGGUACCGACAGCACCCAGGCCCGGCUCCCAAACUCCUCAUUAAUGAGGUCAGUAAAUGUCCCUCAGUGAUCCCGCUUGUGGCACCUGGGGCGGGAGGGGGGAAUGUGCCCAGAGAGCCAGGCGCUGGGAGCCAGGCAGCUGGCCUGAGGGAUGUGGCACUUUGGGGCCAGGAGGUGGGCGUGUGCGGGCCCCCGCCUGAGUGUGUUUCCAGGCCCCUGUGCCUGUUUCAGAACCCUGGGCUCUCCCUCCCAAGUGCCGCCGGCCCUGAGCCCUCCACGCAGCAGCCAGCUCCUGGGCCC